CCUACGGGAGGCAGCAGUAAGGAAUAUUGGACAAUGCUCGCAAGAGUGAUCCAGCCAUGCCGCGUGCAGGAAGAAUGCCCUAUGGGUAGUAAACUGCUUUUGAACUAGAGAAAAUCCCAGUACGUGUACUGGGCUGAUAGUAUAGUUAGAAUAAGCAUCGGCUAACUUCGUGCCAGCAGCCGCGGUAAGACGAAGGAUGCAAGCGUUAUCCGGAUUCAUUGGGUUUAAAGGGAGCGUAGGUGGACUGAUAAGUCAGUGGUGAAAUCUCCGAGCUUAACUCGGAAAUUGCCAUUGAUACUGUUGGUCUUGAGUACAGUUGCUGUGGGCGGAAUAUGACAUGUAGUGGUGAAAUACAUAGAGAUGUCAUAGAACACCGAUUGCGAAGGCAGCUCACAAAGCUGUAACUGACACUGAGGCUCGAAAGUGCGGGGAUCAAACAGGAUUAGAUACCCUGGUAGUCCGCACCGUAAACGAUGAUUACUCGUCUGCGUAGGGACGUACCGUUACGUUAGGUCGUUAGUACGUAACGGACGAGUUAAGUUAAGUACCGUUACCGUUACGGGGUAGGUUACGGCCGGCCGGACCGGGUUACGGAACGUUACGAAGUUAGAAGUUAGGUUACGGACGUUGGAGACGUUACGGACCGGACGGACGACGACGACGGGAGGUUAAGG
rnacentral:rRNA from 1 species